ensembl:lincRNA
UUUCUUUAAUAGUAUGUGUACUCUUCUUCAGGAUUUAGAAUCAAGCAGAGUGAAGAGAUACAUUGAAGCUCCUUUCAGAGGACCUUAGCCACAGUGGAAAUCAUUUGCGACUUAGAGCAGGACACUGUUUUCCUGGUUCACUUGGGACUACCUGUGACUUUAUGUAUACCUGGUAAGAGGCUUGGUUCUGGGGAGGGUCACUGAGGAUAUAUUUUGCUUGUUAAAGGAGUAUAUAUACUAACUCAAAUGUUUCAAAUCUCAGGCAUUCUCAGAGAUCAAGUCAAGUGAGUAUGAAGAGAUGAGAAUCUUACACCACAGAGAAGGUGAAGAGACCACUGACCCUAUGCAUUUUCCUUGUGUUCUUUCAUGAAUCAUUAAUAAUGUGCAUCACAGUUUAACUAAGUGUGCAGUGCCUCAAAGUGCAUUCUGUGGGACACCUGCCUUUGAGUCCCUCGACGUGCUUGUUAUAUCUUUUUGGGUCAUUUUUAAGCACUUAAAAUGUAGGAUUCUUGGAAUUCCAGUUCAUGUAGAAGGAGACAAGAACUGUGGUGGACUGCAGUGUGUCCUUUAAGAAUAUUGGGGAAAUUGGAGGAGAGACUUCUGCGAUGGGCCCCUGGGUAUGAGCCUGGAAGGAUAUUAGGAAAAACGGAUGGAAGGCCAACAAGGGUAAAAGCAGAGCAAGCUUUCAACAAUUUAAUUAGAUGGACUGGAUCUGGAACUUCUGGCUUGCUAAAAUCUUACUAAUUGUACCAAGUAAUGGCAUUUCUCCCAAGGAAAGAGGAACAGACUUUCUGACAUUAGGACCCUCAAUUAGGAAACAGAGACAGCCACACAGCACACCUCUGGGAUGAAAGGUCUCCUUGCAGUCCCUGGACAGUUGGCAAGAUUGGCCUUUCUGCACUGCCAUCUUCCCGGUCUCCAUAGGGAACAGGUGAGUCUUGGGAAGUAGGACCAGUGUGACCAAGAAUGCAGCUCAGCUUCUCUGUGAUGUCAUCUGGGCCUCUCUGCUGCAGCAGAAGUGGGAAGAAAGGACCCUGAAAAGGGAUGUGGUUGCAAGUAACACACGUAUGUGUGGAGAUGCUGUGGAGAGCUGCUUGGGGAGAUGUGGGGCAGACUGGGGAGUGAAAGAGGGACCAAGGUGUCUCUGGAGGACCAAUUAGGAUCUUUCUGGAGGGAAGGUCUUCAGGGCACAGACCAUGAGUGCAGGUCAUUUGCUGGAUAUAUCCUCUAAUCUCUGUUCUGAAGUGAGGAGAUUCUGUGUUCCAUCACUCCUGGGAGGAGGAAAGAAUUCUCUCCACGGCAGCUUCCCCUUGAAGCUUGUUGUCUGAGAAAAUUUUCUAUUUCAGGCAUUGUCAUAUUUAUUUGUAUUUCACUUUAUCAUUUUACCAGACAUAACCAUGUCAAAGUAUAAUUUUGGAAAUCUCAUAUCAGUCAGUCAUGCUGUAAAUUAGUUCCUGAUAGUGCAUUCCUUGACAUGCUAAUGUUACAGCAUAAUUUAAGGAAAAUGUCCCACAGUUAUCAAAUUUUGUGAAGGUUGCAAGUGUGUUCUGCCUCUACACGUCUACUGUGAGGAUAAACACACUUGGGGCUACUAAAUAAUUGUUUAUGAAUAUAUAAAAACCUUGCUGUAUAGUUGGCUUUGUAUAAAUAUUGGAACUCUUUCUUUUGAUGUUCCAGGAGACCUAAAGAAAAUGUGAAAAUCAGGAAAAUAUAGGAGAAAAUAUAGUAGCAACCUGAAACGUGUCUGAAACAGUCAUCUUAGGACUUAUGCCUAAUUCCAUAUGCCCACCAG